AACGAACGCUGGCGGCAGGCUUAACACAUGCAAGUCGAACGCCCCGCAAGGGGAGUGGCAGACGGGUGAGUAACGCGUGGGAACAUACCCUUUCCUGCGGAAUAGCUCCGGGAAACUGGAAUUAAUACCGCAUACGCCCUACGGGUGAAAGAUUUAUCGGUGAUGGAUUGGCCCGCGUUGGAUUAGCUAGUUGGUGGGGUAAAGGCCUACCAAGGCGACGAUCCAUAGCUGGUCUGAGAGGAUGAUCAGCCACAUUGGGACUGAGACACGGCCCAAACUCCUACGGGAGGCAGCAGUGGGGAAUAUUGGACAAUGGGCGCAAGCCUGAUCCAGCCAUGCCGCGUGAGUGAUGAAGGCCUUAGGGUUGUAAAGCUCUUUCACCGGAGAAGAUAAUGACGGUAUCCGGAGAAGAAGCCCCGGCUAACUUCGUGCCAGCCGCCGCCGUAACAC
rnacentral:rRNA from 1 species